rnacentral:lncRNA from 1 species
GUCCACUGCAGCCACAUGGGGAGGACACAGCCUGGUCCAGGACCUUUCCAUCAAUUUAAUUCCAAUAGAAUCCAGCCUCUUUCUUUGUAUGAUUUUGAAGGUAGAGUUGGUUUUGUCUUCUUGCUUACUGCCUCCUUUCGCUUGUUUAAAUAUUUACCUUACAUUUUCCCUACUCUGACUAGGGGAGACAUUUUGCUAACUUAAAAUAGUUGAGCGACAUUGUCCUCCACAGUCCCUUCUGGAGAUGUGAAUUUCCUUCAAACCUCUGAGAUUGGGGUUUAAGCCAUCUCUUCUGGAAUUCUCUCAUGGGGAGAUAAUUGAGUUCAACCGUUCCUUCAUACCAGGACCAGGUACCAGUUGUUAAAGAAUUAUGGAAAGCUAUUCCAGAGAACAUGUUGCCCACUUUUAGAUAUCUGCCUGAGCUCCACAGAUUCAGCCAGAGUCCAUUUAUACAAUGCUAAAUGAGAGUUUCCCACAUACAGGGAACUCUAACAUCUCCAGAUAAAUAGCUCUGCAAGGAGAAAAUGCAAAUUAUGACUUAAAGUCAGCCUCUACUUUUGUGCAGUGCAUACCAAUGUGGCUUUACCCUUUAGCUAGAGCAAUGGAGCUACUACUUCUUUUAUGCAGAUAGAUGCCCUGCAUGAGUUUGUUUCCUGAGACUGUUGGAAAAAUAAAUAGACUAUUAGCUACUUGGUUUCCUCUUUAGAAACCCAGCAGGCACAACAGGGAGAGACAUUAGUCUUUAAGCACCAGUUCUACGAAACAACCACACCAUAGAGCACUUGGAGCGGAACUGAAAAAGGUUAAAACAAGUCCAGAGAAAGGGUGUGGGCAGUCAGAUAGUUUAGCAGACGCUAAGCUUGUGCCAGGGACUUUUAUAAUCAAGGCUUUUGCAAUAGUGAUUUUGUAACAAGUAAAGAAUCCACACACAUGAGGAGGAAGUGUAAGAAAUCAAUUAAAACUUCAGAGAAUGAAACGUGGAAGGCAUAAAGCACCACACACUAAGAGACAAGGGGAAGAAUUAGUCACAGAAAUAAUCAUGAGGAAAGUGCAAUUGUGGGAUCAUACAAGCUGAGGAUGCCUAGAGGGAUCCCUGGAUGUCUGUGAGCUGUAAGGCUCAAGUGGAUUCCUGCAGUGCUCAGCAAGCCUCGCCAGGCCCCAUGUGCACAGGUGUGGGGGUCUUGCUCUGUCAUCCAAGCUGGAGUGCAGUGGUACAAUCACGGCUCACUGCAACCUGGACCUCCAGUGCUCAAGCAAUUCUCCCACCUAAGCCUCCUGAGUAGCCAGGACUACAGGUGUGUGCCACCACGCCCAGCUAAUUUUCUUUUAUUUAUUUAUUUAUUUAUUUAUUUAUUUAUUUAUUUAUAGAUAGGGACUCACUAUGUUGCCCAGGCUGGUCUCAAACUCCUGGGCACAAGUGGUCCUCUGUCCUUGAUUGGCCUCCCAAAGAGUUGAGAUUAUAGGCAUGAGCCAUCAUGCCAGGCCAGACGUGUGUUGUUUUUAAGCUACCAAGUUCACAGAAAUUUGCUACUGCAGCAAUGGGAAACUAAUAGAACGGGAAAGAGACACAGAGAUGUUUUACUGAAGAAGGUAUACAGACAGAAAUAAGCCCAUGAAAAUAUGUACACUUUCUUUUUCUUUUCUUUUCUUUUUUUUUUUUUUUACCUCUGCCUCUCAGGCUCAAGCGAUUCGCCUGUCUCAGCAUCCCAGGUAGCUGGGAUUACAGGCAUGUGCCACCAUGCCCGGCUAAUUUUGUAUUUUUAGUGGACACGGGGUUUCUCCAUGUUGGUCAGUCUGGUCUUGAACUCCAGACCUCAGGUGAUCCGCCCACGUUAGCCUCCCAAAGCACUGGGAUUACAGACAUGAGCCACCGUGCCUGGCCAAAAACAUGUACAUUUUCAUUAGCCAUUAGGGAAAUGAAAAAUAAAAACCACAAUGGGAUCUCACCACACACCCAUCAGCAUGGCUAAAAUAAAAAGUAGUGACAGCAUCAAAUGCCAGUUAGAAUGUAGAGAAACCAGAUCACUCACACAUUGCUGGUGGGAAUGUAAUGGUGCAGCCAUUCUAGAAAACUUCGGGAGUUUCUUUAAAAAACUAAACGUGCAACUACCAUAUCAUCCAGAAAUUGCACCCUGGGACAUUUGUCCUAGAGAAAUGAAGACUUAUCUUAUGUUCCUACAAAAACCUGCACAUGAAUAUUUACAGCAACUUCAUUCGUAAUAGCCCAAGAACUGGAAACAACCCCCGUGUCCUUCAACAAGUCGGUAAAUGAUUAAGCAGACUGGUUCAUCCAUACCAUGAAAUACUACUCAGCCAUGAGAAGAAACAGCCUUGAUACACAAAGCAACCUGGAUAAAUCUCCAGAGAAUUAUCCGGAGUGGAAAAAGCCAAUCCCCAAAGGCUGCUACACAGUCCGUGACUGCAUUAGUUUAACAUUCUUAACAUGACAAAAUUAUAGAGAUGGAGAACAGGUUGGUGGUUGGCAGGAGUUAAGGAGGAGGAGAGGGCAUUGACAAGGGAAGGAAAUGGGUAUGUCUAUAAAAAGGCAACUUGAGGACCCCUUGUGAUGAUGGAAAUGUUCUGUUUCUUAGCUGUAUCAAUGCCAGGGUCUUGGCUGUGAUACCGUACUGCAGUUUUGCAAGAUGUUACUAUCGGGGGAAAUUAGGUAAAGUGUUCAUGGGAUCUCUGCAUUAUUUCUUACAACUGCAUAUGAAUCCACGAUGAUCUCAAAAUAAGAAGUUUAAAACCACAAAUGUGGGGAGGAGAGAGGCAGAAGUGUUUGAAAAGGCUAGAAAUUAUCAAACAACAAUUUUAAAGUUCUAUUCAUAAACAAAGUAGAACUAUUUGAUUUCCCAUUGUAAAUAGAAAAUGUGAUUUUACAUGCCCAGUACAACAUAUAUGCUUAAUAAAUAUUUGUUGGAAAGAUGGUGGUGGGGGUGGAUGGAUGGAAAGCGAAUAGCUGCAAAUCCUGUCAGCAGGCAGUGUAGGGGCAGAGAGAGGAUGAAGGAAAAAGAAAAGACAAAGAGAUAAAGAAGGAGGAGGAAGGGGGAAAAAGAGCAGAAGAAGAGAAAUAAGAAGAGAGAAAGGAGGAAAUGAAGGGGAAAAGGAGGAAGAGGAAGAAGGGGAGGAAGGGGGAGGAAGAGGAAGAGAAAGAGAAGUCAGGGGAGAUGAGAAGCAUGGUGCUUUGUGGCAUAUUGACGGUGGGCAAGGCUGUGGAUUUUUCUGAGCAGCCUUGGUGUGGAGAAAAGACCUCCCAGGGUGCAUGGCGCCCGCAGACACCCUGGCUAGGCUGCCCCUUGUUGGGUGGAACUGCUCCCUCCCUCUUUGCUGGGCACCUACUUUGUCCCCUGGUGGGUGGCUCCUGUAUGGGUGAGGUAUUCCAGCUCUCUGGGCCCUUUCCUUCUCACCCUGUAUCGGCACAGCUCCAGCACCAGGUCAUGGUCACAGACAGUCAGAAUGUGCUGAUGGAAUUUUCCUGUUGAUUUAAGCUAGUGAGACCUUGCUUGUCCUGGAAAAACUGGACAUGAGAGAGUGCUGGACUUGUGUUCCCUGGAGACAGGGCCAUGAUCUUCUCUCCCAUGUGUCAAAUCAGACAAUGGACACUGAAACACUGCGCUGGGGCCUCAGGAGGAGGAUGAGGAACAGGAUAGGGGGACACCCACCUCUCUCUGCCCAGGACGACUCAGGGGUGUGCCUCCUAGCAGCUGUGAAAACACUAAAGGAUUUACAACAUUCCCGCUUAUGUGGGAUUUGGAUUCAUUUCCACAGCUCUACCUAUGAGUAAGAGAAUCUAUUCAGCAACAUGACAUCACGGAAUGGCAAGAGUGACAGCUGCAGAGGUGCCAGAUGUUGUCCCAUCUCUGUCUCACUGUGCUCUGGCCUUCUCUGGCCUCUCCUUUCUAACCCACCAACCCUGUCUGGCUGGGAUAUAGGCCUGGUUCAUAAGUCCCCUCUGCUAUACUCCACCUUUGCCUCAGGUCUCUCAUCCCUUUGCCUUCUGCCCGCCACCCACCUGGAUUGGAAGCCCACCGUGGGGGUUGUCUCUUGGCUGCUGAGCGCUCAGCAGGGCCCCUGUGGUCAGCAAAUGGGUGAUGUGGGAGUGCAGAUGACACACCCUGGUUGGGUUCUUUCCGUGAGAAAGUGGCAUUGGGUAUUUCUAAAAUGACUGUGGUUUUCUUAAAUUUUCUAACCACAAAAAUGUUAUGAGUUUCUCACCGUGGCAGAUCAAAUAGAAAUAUGAUUCAUGCUUCACAAUUUGUGUAGCCAAUAUCAUAGAUAUUUGGUAGUUCUAUUAUGUAUCUGACAGGUACAUAUAUUUUUUUCCUCUAAGAGAUUGUUCUGUGUGAAUAGAUAGAAACUACUUAAAUACAGUAAAGUCUAUUUAUUACAGACCAAGAGCAAACAGUUUACUAAAUGGAAAAAUGCUGAAGUCAUUUCUAUUAAUUCAAGAUCAAGACAGAGUGCCCAUUGUCAUCACUAUUGAUCUACACAGCAUUGGUGGGUUUAACUAAUAACAAUAAGAUGAAAAUGAAUUGAUUGGAAUAAGCAUUGGAAAUGAAGACAGAAAUGUCUUUAUUUGCAGAUGAUUGAGAGUAUACCUAGACAACCUAUAGAUCCUAAUAAAAUAAUAUUAAAAUUAGUAAGAGAAUUUAGUAAGGUAGAUAGGUAGAUAAAUAUAUAAAUAUAAAGCUUUGGUUUAUGGUAACAAUAAACAUUUGAGAAGGGAAAUGAAAAAAAAUAGCCUAUUCAUAAUAACAGCAGGCACUCACUAUACAAUUCCUAAGGAUGCAUUUAACAAGAAAAGGUAAACUAUUUACAGAAGUAAAAUGAUACAAUCGUAUUGAAGGACAUUUUAAAAAAAACCCUCAGCAAAUGGAUAUGUACAAGCCAUGCUUCUGUAUGGAAAGAUGUAACAUCAAAAAAUACCAGUUCUUAAAAAACUAAUGUAUUAAAUUUAAGACAUUACUAUAUAAAUUUAAUGCAAUUGCAGUUAGAAUUUUACUUCUAAGAACCGGAUAAAGUAAUUUUAGAUUCUAUGUAGAUAAAAUAAUUGUAAAGUAAAUGUAAAAUAACUAUACAUUUCAAAUGUUCAGAGAAAAAUAGUGAAGAAAAUGCGAAUGCAUGGGGACCAGUUCUAGUAUAGACAAUAAAACUCAGACUCAAGCAACCAAUACCAAAACAGUAUGUUGCUGGCACCGGAUCUGGCCAAUGUAUUAAGGAAACAGACCUGAGAGCCCAGAAAUAGAUGAGUAGAGAAAUCUAAAAUAUGAUGAUGGCAUUUUCAGUCAGAGAGAAAGGGUGGUUCCAGCAAUUGUUCAGGUACAACUGUUUAUCCAACUUUAAGAAAAACAAACAGAGAUUCUACUUUAACCAUAUGUAGAAACAAAUUCUAGGUGAUUUAAAGAUUUACUUGUCAAAAUAAGACAUUAACAUAUUAGGACAGAAUUUAGGGGUCUAUUUAUAUAAUCAUAGAGGGAGGGAGCACUCUUUCCUUCCCUUCCCUUCCCUUCCCUUCCCUUCCCUUCCCUCCCUCCCUCCCUCUCUCUUUCUCUCUUUCUCUCUUUCCUUCUCUCUCUCUCUUUCUUUCCUUCUUUCUUUCUUUCUUUCUUUCUUUCUUUCUUUCUUUCUUUCUCUCUUUCUUUCUUUCCUUCUUUCUUUUUUUUUUUUUUAAAUAGAGUUUUGCUCUUGUUGCCCAGACUGGAGUACAAUGGUGUGAUCUCAGCUCAACGCAACCUCCACCUCCUGGGUUCAAGUGAUUCUCGUGCCUCAGCCUCCUGAGUAGCUUGGAUUACAGGCCUCUGCCACCACACCUGGCUAAUUUUGUAUUUUUAGUAGAGGUGGGGUUUCUCCAUGUUGGUCAGGCUGGUCUUGAACUCCCGACCUCAAGUGAUCUGCCUACCUCAAACUCCCAAAGUGCUGGGAUUACAGGCGUGAGCCACCGCGCCCAGCCAGAAGGAGCACUUUCUAAACAAGCUAGAAAUCCCAGAAGCCAUCAACAAAGGGGGAGAUAUAUGUUGACUACAUGAAAAUUAAACAUUUUAUAAGAGAAGGAUCCAUGAGCAAAAUCAAAGAGCAAACAACAGACUAGGAAAUGUAUUUCCAACACACAAUCAAUCUCUUAAACCAUUGAAAAACUAUGAAUUAAUUAUACUUUUAAAAGAUAAAUUUAAAUUGUAGCAAGAAAAUGCUAAAGGACUAUGAGCUGCUAAUUUGCAGAAGAAGCAAUCCAAGCACCCAGAAAACACAUGAAAGGAGACUCAGAGAACAGAAAUUCAACAAAUGAGGCAACAGGGCCACCUAAGGUUUUAGGGUGACCAACUUGUCCUUGUUUGCCCAGGAGUCUCCUAGUUUUGAAACUCCUUAGUCCUGGGCAAACUGAGAUGGUUGCCCUUGACAGAAGAAAGAAAAGCCUGAAUCAGGUAUUUGAACUUUGAAUGGACCAAGAGUGUACUCAAUGAGAUUGAGUUAACCCCAAAAGACUUAAACCCCAGAAAGAGACUAAGUGGACUUCAAUGAGCAGCUUUGUGUUUUCUUACCAUUAAGGGAUUAGGGGCUCCAGGAUGAGGUGGCAGCAAUUCUAGGCAGUAAAGAAAGUUACUGACAUGGCUGGAAAGUUUGUAUACAAAGGUGGUUUAGGGUCAUGUGGGGGCUGAAACCUAGCUCAUGCUCUGCUUGUCGAGCUGUGUGUCCUGGUGUGGGGCUGAGCCCGUCUGGACCAAGGGAUGCCCUUGACUCUGCACACAGGUGUGCAUGGGUUAGAGGGACCCUAGUGAUGGCCGUCCUGUCAUCUGGGCUUGGUAGAGCCCAGGCCCAAAGCAUGGUGACACUCAGAGGACACACUCCUGCAUGGUCCAAGGCAGUGUUUCAGGGAAGAAUCUGUCUGGGUGGAGGCCUGGUGGGCUGGAGGGCUUGGAGGUGUCUGUGAGGUUGCCCUGCAGGCCCUGACCUCUCAGAGAUUGUACUGAGGGAGUGCCAGUCCUCCUGGUUGUCUGACUGGCUGUGCCCCCACUGCCACCCUCUCAGCCUACAGCCUCUUGCUCUUCACUCAGCCAGCUCCACAGGAACCUUUUUACAUUCUGAGCUCAGCAGUUCUUCUUCCCCACAGCCAGGCCCCUGGCCCCCUCCUCCCUGUAGCCUUCCUUGCCUGGGCUCUGAGAACCUGCCCUGACUGCAGACUGGGGUCUUUGUUAAUCUAGAUGAGGGCCCGGGGGCUGAGCUUCAGGUCUCAGAAUGUGCUUUCUAAGGUGGCCACCUUGAGACCUCCCAUCCCAUAAGCUCUUCUUACAAUGUGUUGUUGACUUUCCUCCCAUUGAGAGGUGGGGGUGCCUUUGAAUUUGGGAGGGACUAUGUCAUACAACUAUGACAAAAGUGACUGUCUUCAUCUGUUUUCUAUUGUUAUAACAGAAUAACACAGACUUGGUGAUUUUUUUUUUUUUUGAGACAGGGUCUUGCUCUGUUGCCCAGACUGGAGUGCAGUGGUUUGAUCUCGACUCACUGCAACCUCCAUCUCCUGGGUUCAAGUGAUCCUCCCACUUUAGCCUCUGGAGUCACUGGGACUACUAUGUGCACAACACCACACCCAGCUAAUUUCUGUAUUUUUUGUAGAGAUGGGGUUUCACCGUGUUGUCCAGGCUGUUCUCAAACUCCUGGGCUCAAGUGAUGCACCCACCUCAGCAUCCCAAAGUGCUAGGAUUACAGACAUGAGCCACCACUGUGCCCACCCCAGACUGGGUGAUUUAUAAAGAAAAUAAGGGGUUUUUUUGGGCUCAUGGAGGCUGGGAAACCCAAGAGCAUGGCACUGGCAUCUGGUGAGGGCUUUCUUGCUGCAGCAUCUCGUGGUGGAAGGACAAGUGAACAUGACAGACAGAGAAUGGAGGCUAAACUUAAGCUUUUUAUCAGGAGUCUACUCCCAUGAUAACUAACCUGCUCCCACAAUAAUGGCCUGAAUGCAUUCAUUAGAAUGGUGUCCCUGUGACUUACUCACCUCUUAAAGGCUCCGUAUCUUAAUACUGUUACAGUGUCAAUUAAAUCUCAACAUGAGCUUAGUAGAGGUCAAACAUUCAAACUCCAGCAGUGACAUUAUGUGAGGCUCAUUCCUAAAAGGCAAUACAGCUUCUGCCUGGUUCUCUUGGGACACCUGCUCUUGGAAUCCAGCUACCAUGCUGUGAGGAAGCCCAAGCCUCCUGGAGAGGCCAUGUGUGGCUCUUCUGACUGAGCUGACAACCAGAUUGGUUAUGGAAACUUCUGAGAUGGCUCCAGCCCCAAUUAACCUCGAUUGUGUAAGAAACAUCUAGCUGAACCCAUUCAACCGCCAGAACUGUGAGAGGUGAUAAUAAAAAUAUUGCUCAUGUUUUAAGCCACCGUGUUUUGGGAUGAUUUGUAAACAGCAAUAGAUAAUUGGUGCCACAAUUCUGGCAGCAGAGCACUAAGACCAAAACCCUGUUAUAAGCUUCUGCUCUGAUCAUUUAACCCCUACCACUUUCCUGGGUGAUCAGCCAUUUGUUCAACUUGCAUUGGGUGAGCAUUCGCCUCAUGCCAGGCUCUGUGUCACACUGAGGGCCCAGUGAGGGGUGAACAAACAGACUUGGUGCUGGCAUUCAGAGAAGGGACAUCUGUUACUCGGGAGACCCUCAUUCCCCUUAUCUCAUGAAGUGAAGGGGAUCUGGUCCCACCUGGCUUCUUCCCUCUUCCUUUCCCUGCAGCCAGGCUGGGCCUGGAGUGUCCUAGCACAUGUCACUCUAGUGACUGAAUUCUGGACAUUAUUAUUGGCUUCCUGUGAGAACCGAAGCAGGGGCCCUUGAGGGAUAAGAUCAGAUGAACAGGUUUAAACCAAAAGGGAGACAAAGCCACCCCAAACUGAGAGGCAGGAUGGAGUACAGGGAGACGUCCAGAAAGCAGGGACCUAAUCUAGGAUGGGGAGAUUUGAAAGACAGGAAGGAGGGUCUGUGCUGGUGGUUGGCAUUGUUGGGGCGCCAAGGGGGUCACUCAGGGUGGUGUCUCUCAUGUGGCCUUUGGUUCUUUCUCCAGAGAAGCACUCAGGCGAGGAGGCUGGGUCAUGUUUCAGGGUUGUUAAAAAUACAGCAGUAACUCACUGAGUGCCGCCUUCUAUGGGGUUGGCCUGGGGAGCUGUAAAGUAUAAAGGGAAACCUCUUCCCCAGGUGCAAGGACCUGCUGCUGGCAGUUGAUGGAGCAACUGUGGGAGUGGUGAUUGGCUGCUUUGAGGAGGCCCAAGAAGUGAGCUGCCACCUCACAACUCCAGGGGCUGGGCAAGGAUGAGAGAGUCUCAGAUUCAUUGCUGGGGCUUGGAGUCUAAGGGGCAUGGAGGGAUGUAGUAGUCAGCUAGAGCUGCCAUAAUAAAGCACCAGAAACAGGAUGGCUUACACAACAGAAAUGUAUUUUCUCAUCGUUCUGCAGACCAGAAGUCCAAGAUCAAGGGGUCAGCAGGAUUGUUCCUCCUGAGGGUUAGGAGGGAGAAUCUGCUCUAGGCCUCUCUCCUGGUUUCUAGUGUUUGCCAGCAAUCUUUGCCAUUUCUUGGUUUGUAAAAGCAUCACCUGAUUUCUGCCUUGGUCUUCAGGUGAUGUUCUCCCUGUCUGCAUGUUUGUGUCUAAAUUUCCCCUUUUUAUAAGGACAUCAGUCAUAUUGGAUUAGGACUCACCCUUCUCCAGUAUUACUGCAUCUUAACUUGAUUACUUCUGUAAAGAUUUCUUCUCCAAGUGAAGUCACAUUCUGAGGUACUGGUUAGGACUCCAGUGUAUGGCUUUGAAGGGACACAAUUCACCCAUAACAUGAGACGAUAAUGUCAACCAGGCACCUAGUUCUAUAGCUGACUUCUUGAUCUCAGGUAAUGUGCUCAACAACUCUGUGAUAAAAAUACUAUACAUUUUUUUCUAAUUAUUUAUUAUAAAAUUUUAAAAACAUACAGCAGUCACUACUAAAAAUACAAAAAAUUAGCUGGGUGUGGUGGUGGGUGUCUGUAGUCCCAGCUACUCGGGAGGCUGAGGCAGGAGAAUGGCGUGAAUCUGGGAGACAGAGCUUGCAGUGAGCUGAGAUUGCACCACUGCACUCCAGCCUGGGCGACAGAGCAAGACUCUGUCUCAAAAAAAAAAAACAAAAAAAACCCAAACAUACAGCAAAGCUGAAAGAAUUUUACAGUGAGCACCCUUCCCAUAUGCCCACUAGCUACAUUCUACUAUUGACAUUUUACCUUAUUUGCCUUGUCACAUAAUCUGUCCAUCUAUUCAUCCUCAAUCCACCCAUUAAUCCACCUUAUUUUCUGGUGCAUUUCAAAGUAAAUUGCAAACAUCAAUACGUUUUUCCCUAAAGUUAGCAGUCAAUCAUUAACUAGAGUUCAAUAUUUUCUUUACAGAUUUUUCUUCUGAGGUACAAUGAAGUGCUCAAAUCUUAAGUAUACAUUUAUUGAGUUUUAAGGAAAGCAAACAGCUGUGUAAUCCAAAUGCCUAGCAAGAUAUAGAACAUUACCAUCACCAUGGAAAUUUCCCUCAUGUCCUUUCCCAAUCUCUGCCUCCACCCCUCAGAGGCAACCACCAGUCGAUUUUUCCACUGUAGCUUAGUUUUGCCUGUUCUAGAACUUCAUAAAAAGUGGAAUCAGAUGCAAUUUACUCAUUCAUUUAAGGCUUCUUCCACUGAUCGUCAUGUUGUCAAGCUUCAUCCGUGCUGAAUGAAUGUUGUAGUGUGUAUCUGUAAUUCAUUGCUCCUUAUUGCUGAGUAGUAUCUCAUUGUAUGGACGUGCCACACUUCUCCUGAUGAGCCUCUGGGCUGUUUUCAGCUCUCGGCUACUGCAAAUAAGUAUGUAUUUGCAUCUCCAUUUUAGGGAUAACGAAGUGAUGCUCAGGAAGUUUAAGUGGCUUGUUGAAGGUCAUAUGGGUCAUGAGGGGCAGAACCAAGAUUUGAACUCAGCCAGAUUGGUCAGAUGCCAGAGCCUAAAGCAUUUUCUUUUUAAUUCCUUUGUGAUAUGUUUGCUUUCCGUGGUGUGGGGUGGCCUGGGAAGUAAAGUAUACCAUGGGAUGUGUAUUUUACCUUCAUCUGACUGAUUUGCAUUAUAGUCAGGCAGUCUGCAAUUGCAAGAGUGGUUUUGAGUCCCUGCUUCACCAUUUACCAGCCGUGUGACCCUGGGCACAUGACUAAACUUGCUUCUGUCUCUGCUUCCUGAUCUGUACAAUGGGGAGAUAACAGCAUACAUAGGGUUGUUGUGAGGGUUAAAUAACGAAUUAAUAUAUGAAAGCCCAGUGACUGUGCCAGGCAUAUGGUAAGUGCCAUAUGAAUGUGAGAUAUUUGACAAUUAUCUCUUGAGCACUAUCUCCAGGCCACAUCCAUGUGCUAAGUAUACAAGGAUGACUAACGCAUUGUAUCGGGCCCACCUUGUCUGCACCUUUCAUCCUCUGGAUAGAUCCCUCUUUUCCUGUGGCCAUUGGUGAGGCCAUCAGCUUCAAGCAGGUAUACCUGUCGGCAUCUUGCCUUGUUGUUCCCUCCUCUCUAUGAGGAACUGCCAUACCCUUCUCCACCGCGGCUGCGCCACUUCACAUCCCAGCAACAGUGCACAGGGGUUCCAGUGUCUCCACAUGCUUGCCAACAUGUCUCCCUCCUUUCCUCCCUCAUUCCCUCCCUCCCUUCCUUCCUUCCUUCUUUCUUUCCUUCCUU